rnacentral:rRNA from 1 species
GACGAACGCUGGCGGCGUGCCUAAUACAUGCAAGUCGAACGCAGUGGGGACGGGUGCGUAACACGUGGGUAACCUCCCAUCAGAUGGGAUAACACUUGGAACCCGGUGCUAAACCGAUACUGAUGGAUGGACCCGUGUUGCAUUAGCUAGUUGGUGGGAUAACGGCUCACCAGGGCCACGAGGCAUAGACGACCGAAGAGGGUGAUAGGCAACACGGGGACUGAGACACGGCCCAGACUACUACGGGAGGCAGCAGUAGGGAAGCUUCGGCAAUGGACGAAAGUCUGACCUAGCAACGCCGCGUGAGUGAAGAAGGUUUUCGGAUCGUAAAACUCUGUUGUUAGAGAAGCGGUAUCUAACCAGAAAGCCACGGCUAACUACGUGCCAGCAGCCGCGGUAAUAC